rnacentral:pre_miRNA from 1 species
ACACUUGCUGUCAACAGAGCGGUAUAUACGACUGUCUACUAUAGCUGCAAUCCUGUUGCUGAACAGGAUUGCAGCUAUAGUAGACAGUCGUAUAUACCGCUCUGUUGACA